GAUGAACGCUGGCGGCGUGCCUAAUACAUGCAAGUCGAGCGAACAGACGAGGAGCUUGCUCCUCUGACGUUAGCGGCGGACGGGUGAGUAACACGUGGAUAACCUACCUAUAAGACUGGGAUAACUUCGGGAAACCGGAGCUAAUACCGGAUAACAUGUUGAACCGCAUGGUUCAACAGUGAAAGACGGUCUUGCUGUCACUUAUAGAUGGAUCCGCGCCGCAUUAGCUAGUUGGUAAGGUAACGGCUUACCAAGGCAACGAUGCGUAGCCGACCUGAGAGGGUGAUCGGCCACACUGGAACUGAGACACGGUCCAGACUCCUACGGGAGGCAGCAGUAGGGAAUCUUCCGCAAUGGGCGAAAGCCUGACGGAGCAACGCCGCGUGAGUGAAGAAGGUCUUCGGAUCGUAAAACUCUGUUAUUAGGGAAGAACAAAUGUGUAAGUAACUAUGCACGUCUUGACGGGACCUAAUCAGAAAGCCACGGCUAACUACGU
rnacentral:rRNA from 1 species